AUGGACAAAGAGGCGGAGCAGACGGGGGUCGUCGGCUGCCUGAUCCGGGGCUUCUUCCCUCUGGGCCCUCUGAGUGUGAGCUGGAAUGUCAGCGGGGAGAACGUGAGCAUCUAUAACUUCCCGCCUGCCCAGUCUGGCACUUCAGGCCCGUACACCACAAGCAGUCUGCUGACCCUGCCACCUGACCAGUGUCCUGCAGAUGGCAGUGCGGCCUGCCACGUGGAGCACAAUUACGACGAGGGCCAGGACCUGCCCGUGCCCUGUCCAGAUCCGUGUGAAGGUUGCCCCUGCCACUGCCCCUCCUGCGAGGAGCCCAGCCUGUCCCUGCAGCGGCCAGACCUCGGGGACCUGCUCCUGAACUCAAACGCCAGCCUCACCUGCACCCUGAGAGGCCUGAAGGACCCCAAAGACGCCGUCUUCACCUGGGAGCCCACAAACGGGAACGAACCCGUCCAGCAGAGCGCCCAGCGUGACCCCUGCGGCUGCUACAGUGUGUCCAGCGUGCUGUCCGGCUGUGCGGAGCCCUGGAGUGCGGGGACAGAGUUCACCUGCACAGUCACCCACCCUGAGAUAGAGGGCGGCUCCCUGACAGCCACCAUCAGCAAAGACACAGGCGUCAUCACCCCACCCCAGGUACACCUGCUGCCGCCACCGACCGAGGAACUGGCCCUCAACGCGCUGGUGACGCUGACCUGCCUGGUGCGGGGCUUCAGCCCCAAGGACGUGCUGGUGUCCUGGACACACAAUGACACCCCGGUGGUCCCCAAAGACAGCUACCUGGUGUGGAAGCCCCUGCCCGAGCCUGGCCAGCAACCCACCACCUACGCCGUCACCAGCCUGCUGCGUGUGUCGGCCGAGGACUGGAACCAGGGGGACAGCUUCUCCUGCGUGGUGGGCCAUGAGGGCCUGGCCGAGCACUUCACCCAGAAGACCAUCGACCGCCUGGCGGGUAAACCCACCCACGUCAACGUGUCUGUGGUCGUGGCAGACGUGGAAGGCGUGUGCUACUGA